rnacentral:lncRNA from 13 species
AAUAAAGUGGUAUUUUUAAAUAUCUUAUAAUUUAGAAAUAAAGUGCAAUCAAAUCUGAUUGAAUAUUUGAACCAGUUUUCUUGAAAGAUAAAAGUAGAAGGCAAGAAAAACUGUACAGGUAUUUUAUUUUGGGUAGGAGUGCUAUGCUAGCAAUACUGUCAAAAUACCUGUGUAUAAAUGUAGCAUUAUAAUGAAAAUGCUUUGAUGGGUAGAGACUAUCCCAUAUGUUUUAAGGCAGACAGACACAAACACACACACUAUUACAUAACAUGUUCACAUUCCAAGGCCCAUUCUGUGACUUGCUGAAGCAGCGAAUAGGUUACUCCAUAUUUGAAGACUUACACUAACCUUUCUCUUUCCAAUUUUCCUUGUACUGCAGGAGUUACUGAUUCUGACCGAACUCAGUGGCUCAAUAAACAACUUUGCUAUCUCAGAAAAUCACCCUCUUUGCCAGCAAAAUGUUUGGAGUCAUUCCAAGAAAAAGAGAGAAAAAAAAAUUUCUGGUCAAUGGAGAGACGGGACCACAUUGAAAGGUUAUGCAGGAAGCAUGGCCCAGGCAUCUGCUCAGCUUCUACAGUGGCCUCAG